UACGUAGGGUGCGAGCGUUGUCCGGAAUUAUUGGGCGUAAAGGGCUCGUAGGCGGUUUGUCGCGUCGGGAGUGAAAUCAUCUGGCUUAACUGGGUGCUUGCUUUCGAUACGGGCAGACUAGAGGUAUGCAGGGGAGAACGGAAUUCCUGGUGUAGCGGUGAAAAUGCGCAGAUAUCAGGAGGAACACCGGUGGCGAAGGCGGUUCUCUGGGCAUGAUCUGACGCUGAGGAGCGAAAGCGUGGGGAGCAAACAGG
rnacentral:rRNA from 1 species